GGAGGGAUGGCAGAGUGGUUGAUUGCGGCGCUCUUGAAAAGCGUUGUGUCGCUUGACGGCACCGGGGGUUCGAAUCCCUCUCCCUCCGCCU
rnacentral:tRNA from 1 species